rnacentral:rRNA from 1 species
AGCUCCAAUAGCGUAUAUUAAUGUUGUUGCAGUUAAAAAGCUCGUAGUUGGAUUUCUGACAAGAGCGGCCGGUCCGAGCCCCUUGGGUUCGUGUACUUUGUGUUGUCUCUAGUCAUCCUUAUGAAGAACGUGUGUGGCAUUAACUUGUCGUGCUCGGGACUUGUAUCGUUUACUGUGAAAAAAUUAGAGUGUUCAAAGCAGGCAAUCGCUGUGAAUACAUUAGCAUGGAAUAAUAAGAUAGGACUUUGGUACUAUUUUGUUGGUUUGCAUACCAAGGUAAUGAUUAACAGGGACAGUUGGGGGUAUUCGUAUUUAUAUGUCAGAGGUGAAAUUCUUGGAUUUUAGAAAGACGAACUACUGCGAAAGCAUUUACCAAGGAUGUUUUCAUUAAUCAAGAACG